UGCAUCUGUAUUUAUUUAAAAAUGCUUUUGCAACCUGACACUGUUCAGCUUUUUUAUCUUUUACCAGUAUUUGGGGACUUAUUGGGGAUUCCUUUGAUAAUUUCAGGAAGAAAGAAGUGGAAUGGAAGGAGCCAGUAACUGUCCCAGGUCAGAAAACGCCUCUGAAAAGGAUCUACAUUACACCCAAAGUUCAUUGGAUAACUGCACCCUCAACAAUCAGGAGACAAUAAGUGGUGUAGACAGAGCUAAUAUCUUCCCCAAAUCAGAUGGUACCUCUGAAGACAUUCAGCAUUCCACAGACUGUUCACAGGUUGAGACUUUCCACAUUCAGGAGACAAUAAGUGGUACGAACCAAGCCAGUAACUGCCCCAAAUCAGAUGGUGCCUCUGAAGACAAUCAGCAUUGCACAGACAGUUCACAGCAUGACAGUAUCUUCCACAUUCAGGAGACAAUAAAGGGUAUGAACCAAGCCAGUAACUGCCCCAAAUCAGAUGGUGCCUCUGAAGACAAUCAGCAUUGCACAGACAGUCCACAGCAUGACAGUAUCUUCCACAUUCAGGAGACAAUAAAGGGUAUGAACCAAGCCAGUAACUGCCCCAAAUCAGAUGGUGCCUCUGAAGACAAUCAGCAUUGCACAGACAGUCCACAGCAUGACAGUAUCUUCCACAUUCAGGAGACAAUAAAGGGUAUGAACCAAGCCAGUAACUGCCCCAAAUCAGAUGGUGCCUCUGAAGACAAUCAGCAUUGCACAGACAGUUCACAGCAUGACAGUAUCUUCCACAUUCAGGAGACAAUAAAGGGUAUGAACCAAGCCAGUAACUGCCCCAAAUCAGAUGGUGCCUCUGAAGACAAUCAGCAUUGCACAGACAGUUCACAGCAUGACAGUAUCUUCCACAUUCAGGAGACAAUAAAGGGUAUGAACCAAGCCAGUAACUGCCCCAAAUCAGAUGGUGCCUCUGAAGACAAUCAGCAUUGCACAGACCGUCCACAGCAUGACAGUAUCUUCCACAUUCAGGAGACAAUAAAGGGUAUGAACCAAGCCAGUAACUGCCCCAAAUCAGAUGGUGCCUCUGAAGACAAUCAGCAUUGCACAGACCGUCCACAGCAUGACAGUAUCUUCCACAUUCAGGUAUGAAACUGCUCUUUUUUAUGUAUUUUAAUUACAAUAUACGUUAAGUCCCCACAAUGUGCAAUGUGCAUGAUAUAUGUGAAGUCCCCAUAAAGUAUUGUGUAUCACAAAUGUUUAUGAAAGAUUCACAAGACUCAGGAUGAGAGUGCUGCACCUCCCCCACUAUGUCCCCACAUUGUCUUCUAAAAAAAUCUCUACACUAAGUCCACACACUACACCUAUUUUGAUAAUGACAUGUAUAACUGUUAGUACAUUUAAAUUUUGAAAUUAUGUAGUGUGCUUGCAGAAUGCAAACAUUACUUUUACAUUUGGUCAAAUUGCAAUCAGACAGUCAGAAUUGCACUGCCAGUUCACAGGUUGAGAGUAUCUUCCACAUUCAGGUAUGAAACUGUUCUUUUCAAUGUAUUUUUAUCAUAAUAUCGAAUCUCGAAUUCCGAUCCGCCAAGGUGCAACUGAGCAAAGCACUGUCCCCACACACUUCUCCCCAGGCGCCUUUCAUGGCUGCCUACUGCUCACCAAGGGUGAUGGGUUAAAAGCAAAGGACACAUUUAGUUGUGUGCACAUGUGCUGUGUUGCAGUGUAUCACAAUGACAAUCACUUCUCUUUUACUUAAUAAACAUUAAGUCCCUUCAAUGUAAAUAUAUGUG
ensembl:lncRNA